GGGAGCCUGAGAAACGGCUACCACAUCCAAGGAUGGCAGCAGGCGCGCAAAUUACCCAAUCCCGACACGGGGAGGUAGUGACAAUAAAUAACAAUACGGGGUUCUUUCGGAUCUCGUAAUUGGAAUGAGUACAAUUUAAAUCUCUUAACGAGGAACAAUUGGAGGGCAAGUCUGGUGCCAGCAGCCGCGGUAAUUCCAGCUCCAAUAGCGUAUAUUAAAGUUGUUGCAGUUAAAAAGCUCGUAGUUGAAUUUCGGGGUUAGUAGGUUGGUCAUGCCUCUGGUAUGUACUGAUCUCACUGAUUCCUCCUUCCUGAUGAACCGUAAUGCCAUUAAUUUGGUGUUGCGGGGAAUUUGGACUGUUACUUUGAAAAAAUUAGAGUGUUUAAAGCAAGCUAACGCUUGAAUACAUUAGCAUGGAAUAAUGAAAUAGGACGUUCGAUCCUAUUUUGUUGGUUUCUAGGAUUGACGUAAUGAUUAAUAGGGAUAGUUGGGGGCAUUAGUAUUCAAUUGUCAGAGGUGAAAUUCUUGGAUUUAUUGAAGACUAACUACUGCGAAAGCAUUUGCCAAGGAUGUUUUCAUUAAUCAAGAACGAAAGUUAGGGGAUCGAAGACGAUCAGAUACCGUCGUAGUCUUAACCAUAAACUAUGCCGACUAGGAAUCAGACGAUGUUAAUUUUUUAAUGACUCGUUUGGCACCUUACGGGA
rnacentral:rRNA from 1 species